CCUUCUCUUCUAGGUUUGUUAGCUGGUCUUGCAAUAAAACUGACAUAAGACAGAUGAACAGAGAGAAACAAAUUUAAUUUUUUCAUAGAGGAGCUACAAAGAUAUGAGACUCAAGGGCAGUUGAGGCUUAUAUGCCAUCCUGAGCCGAGGAACGAAUGGGAUGGGGGCCUGAGCCUUCAAAGAGGAAGAGGAGGAUUUACAGGAGGAUAAGAAGAACAGAUGAUGAAUUCUGCUUUUCAUUGAUAGAACCUAACCAAAGCUGACAAGGAGGUCUGGGAAAUGUAGUUUUCAGGCUUCUGAACCCUGGAUACAGAGGAGAAAAUAGCAGAGUGAGAAUGGAGCUAAGACCCAACGAAGAAAUCACCAAUACUAGCAGUUAGCACAGUUCACGAACUCAUUAUGCUAAAUUCCAUCAUCAUCAUCAUCAACAUCAUCAUCAUCAUCAACAUCACCAUCACCAUCAUCCUUGUUAUUUAGUUCUGCAAUAAACAAGUAGUAGGACCUCAAGUCA